GGUGUCUAAUGGUGUGACCAUCAUCCUUUUUCUUGGAAAAUGGAAAAAGGAUCCCCAGGAGCAAAUGGGAGAAUUGGAAAAGACAAUAAAAGAACUCCAGGAGAAAAAUGGUGAGUU